rnacentral:rRNA from 1 species
AGUGAACGCUGGCGGUAGGCCUAACACAUGCAAGCCGAACGGCAGCACAGUAAGAGCUUGCUCUUACGGGUGGCGAGUGGCGGACGGGUGAGGAAUACAUCGGAAUCUACUUUUUCGUGGGGGAUAACGUAGGGAAACUUACGCUAAUACCGCAUACGACCUACGGGUGAAAGCAGGGGAUCUUCUGACCUUGCGCGAUUGAAUGAGCCGAUGUCGGAUUAGCUAGUUGGCGGGGUAAAGGCCCACCAAGGCGACGAUCCGUAGCUGGUCUGAGAGGAUGAUCAGCCACACUGGAACUGAGACACGGUCCAGACUCCUACGGGAGGCAGCAGUGGGGAAUAUUGGACAAUGGGCGCAAGCCUGAUCCAGCCAUACCGCGUGGGUGAAGAAGGCCUUCGGGUUGUAAAGCCCUUUUGUUGGGAAAGAAAAGCAGCAGGUUAAUACCACGCUGUUCUGACGGUACCCAAAGAAUAAGCACCGGCUAACUUCGUG